GCAGGCCUGGCGCUGUCCCGCCUCUGGGUCAAGUCUGCAGCCAGCAGUUCUGUGGAUGCUACCCGCCUUCCCCAGGUGGAUCUCGUUAACCUCCAAAAGCCAGGUGAGAAGAGGGUAGUGCUGUACUCAGGCCACAUGGAGACAGGCCAGGAGCAUCCGCUUCCUGGGUGGGCCCCUUGGAAGUGUGAUUCUGGGAGUCGUUCCUGGAACUGAGCCUGAAGUCUGUUUCCUCGGCCUCUCAGGAUUCUGUGAGCCACCCAAAUCUCCUAAUAAAACCCUUUCUUCUUCAAAGUGCUAUGGCAAAUGCCACAAAGUCCAUGGGUCUGGCAACGAUGGGAAAAUGAAGAUGAAAACUUCCUGGAGCUCAGCUAACG